AGGACGAACGCUGGCGGCGCGCUUAACACAUGCAAGUCGAGCGAGAUCCGGUCCUUCGGGACUGGGGAAAGCGGCGAACGGGUGAGUAACACGUGGGUAAUCAACCCUCGGUACCGGGAUAGCCCGAGGAAACUCGGAUUAAUACCGGAUGGCCCAGCAGCUCUUCGGGGCGGCUGGGAAAGGUAGCUUCGGCCUCCGACCGAGGACGAGCCCGCGGCGGAUUAGCUUGUUGGCGGGGUAAUGGCCCACCAAGGCGACGAUCCGUAGCUGGUCUGAGAGGACGAUCAGCCACACUGGGACUGAGACACGGCCCAGACUCCUACGGGAGGCAGCAGUGGGGAAUCUUGCACAAUGGGCGGAAGCCUGAUGCAGCGACGCCGCGUGAGGGAAGAAGGCUUUCGGGUUGUAAACCUCUUUCAGGAGGGACGAAGCUACUCGGGUUAAUAGCCCAGAGGGUGACGGUACCUCCAGAAGAAGCCCCGGCUAACUACGUGCCAGCAGCCGCGGU
rnacentral:rRNA from 1 species